rnacentral:rRNA from 1 species
CCUACGAGGGGCAGCAGUGAGGAAUAUUGGUCAAUGGACGAGAGUCUGAACCAGCCAAGCAGCGUGAAGGAUGACUGCCCUAGGGGUUGUAACAUUCUUUUAUAUGGGAAUAAAAUGUUCCACGUGUGGCAUUUUGUACUUACCAUAUGAAUAAGGAUCGGCUAACUCCGUGCCAGCAGCCGCGGUAAUACGGAGGGUACGAGCGUGAUCCGGAGUUAUUGGGUUUAAAGGGAGCGUAGGUGGAUUGUUAAGUCAGUUGUGAAAGUUUGCGGCUCAACCGUAGAAUUGCAGUUGAAACUGGCAGUCUUGAGUACAGGAGAGGUAGGCGGAAUUCGUGGUGUAGCGGUGAAAUGCUUAGAUAUUACGAAGAACUCCGAUUGCGAAGGCAGUUCACUGGACUGCAACUGACAUUGAGGCUCGAAAGUGUGGGUAUCAAACAGGAUUAGAUACCCUUGUAGUC